GACGAACGCUGGCGGCGUGCCUAACACAUGCAAGUCGAGCGAAUGAAGUUCCUUCGGGAAUGGAUUUAGCGGCGGACGGGUGAGUAACACGUGGGCAACCUGCCUCAUAGAGGGGAAUAGCCUUCCGAAAGGGAGAUUAAUACCGCAUAAGAUUGUAGUAUCACAUGGUACAGCAAUUAAAGGAGCAAUCCGCUAUGAGAUGGGCCCGCGGCGCAUUAGCUAGUUGGUGAGGUAACGGCUCACCAAGGCGACGAUGCGUAGCCGACCUGAGAGGGUGAUCGGCCACAUUGGGACUGAGACACGGCCCAGACUCCUACGGGAGGCAGCAGUGGGGAAUAUUGCACAAUGGGGGAAACCCUGAUGCAGCAACGCCGCGUGAGUGAUGACGGCCUUCGGGUUGUAAAGCUCUGUCUUCAGGGACGAUAAUGACGGUACCUGAGGAGGAAGCCACGGCUAACUACGUGCCAGCCGCCGCGGUAAUAC
rnacentral:rRNA from 1 species